UAGAGCUGUGCGUGGAGGCGCUGCCGUGGAGCCACCGCCCCCUCGCUGCUUCGCGUCUUGUUUGGGAGCCGGAUCGCGGCGCCACUGGGGUGCCCUGAUGGUCCCCGGCAGGCGGCAGCGGCAGAGGCGGAGGGAGGAUGACCUCUCCCCGGGAGCGGGGUGCCGACCUGGCCCGAUUCUACACUGUCACCGAACCCCAGCGACACCCGAGGGGCUACACGGUAUAUAAGGUCACCGCCCGGGUUGUUUCACGAAGAAAUCCAGAGGAUGUCCAGGAGAUAAUCGUGUGGAAGAGAUACAGUGACUUUAAGAAACUACACAAAGAACUAUUGCAAAUUCACAAAAACUUAUUCCGACAUUCAGAAUUGUUUCCUCCAUUUGCUAAAGGAAUAGUGUUUGGACGAUUUGACGAAACGGUUAUUGAAGAGAGAAGACAGUGUGCUGAAGACCUGCUACAGUUCUCUGCUAAUAUUCCCGCUCUUUAUAACAGUAAACAGCUUGAAGAUUUUUUCAAGGGUGGAAUAAUUAAUGAUGGUUCUGAGUUGAUUGGUCCUGCUGAAGCUUAUUCAGACUCCCCCAUUGACAGCUUUCCUGAGUGUAGUACAGAAGGCUUCUCCAGUGACAGUGAUCUGAUAUCUCUUACUGUUGAUGUGGAUUCUCUUGCUGAGUUAGACGAUGGAAUGGCUUCCAAUCAAAAUUCUCCUAUUAGAACUUUUGGUCCCAAUCUUCCUUUGGAUUCUUCAGCACUAGGUGCUGUUGCUUCUGACAGCGAACAGAACAAAACAGAAGAAGAACGGGAAAGUCGUAGCCUCUUUCCUGGCAGUUUAAAAUCCAAGCUUGGCAAGAGAGAUUAUUUGGAGAAAGCAGGAGAAUUAAUAAAGCUGGCUUUAAAAAAGGAAGAAGAAGACGACUAUGAAGCUGCCUCCAAUUUUUAUAGGAAAGGAGUUGACUUACUCCUAGAAGGUGUUCAAGGCGAGUCCAGCCCUACCCGUCGAGAAGCUGUGAAGAGAAGGACAGCGGAGUAUCUCAUGCGAGCGGAGUCUCUCUCUGGCCUUUAUGGAAAACCUCAGCUUGAUGAUGUAUCUCAGCCUCCAGGAUCACUAAGUUCAAGGCCCUCUUGGAACCUAAGGAGCCCUGCCGAGGAGCUGAAGGCCUUCAGAGUCCUUGGGGUGAUUGACAAGGUUUUACUUGUAAUGGACACAAGGACAGAACAGACAUUCAUUUUAAAAGGUCUAAGGAAAAGCAGUGAGUACCGCACGAACAGAAAGACCAUCAUCCCCCGCCGUGUGCCCAACAUGGUGUGUCUGCACAAGUACAUCGUUUCCGAGGAGUCAGUAUUUCUUGUGCUGCAGCACGCAGAAGGUGGCAAACUCUGGUCAUAUAUCAGUAAGUUUCUAAACAGAAGUCCUGAAGAAAGCUUUGACACCGAAGAAGUGAAAAAAUCUACACUUACUAAAGUUCCCCUUCAACAGCCAAUUUGUAGUCUUCAGGACAGCAGCAGCUUUGAAUCCAGAGGAAGUGAUGGUGGAGCCACGCUUAAAGUUCUGCCUUUGAAGACGAGACUCACUCCAAGCUCUCAAGAUGAUAGCAUCCAAGAUGAUGAUGGCCAAGACAGCUCUCCAAAAUGGCCAGAUUCUGGCUCAAGUUCAGAAGAAGAAUGUACUACUAGUUAUUUGACAUUAUGCAAUGAAUAUGGACAAGAAAAGAUUGAACCAGGGUCAUUGAAUGAGGAGCCUUUCAUGAAGGCGGAAGGGAAUGGUGUUGAUACCAAAGCUAUCGAAAAUUUCCCAGCACACCUUGUUGCUGACAGUGACAGCCCUAGCACACAGCUGAUAGCCCACGAGCUGAAGUUCUUCCUUGGAGAUGAUGAUCUAGAAGCAGGCAGUUCUCCAAGAACAUCAGAUUCCCUCAGUAGAUCUAAAAACAGCCCCAUGGAAUUCUUUAGAAUAGAUAGUAAGGAUAGCACUAGUGAACUCCUUGGACUUGAUUUUGGAGAAAAACUGUAUAGUUUAAAGUCAGAGCCUUUGAAACCAUUUUUCACUCUUCCAGAUAGGGACAGCACUCCUAGGAGUUUUAAUGCUAGUGAAAGCAAGGUAGAGUUUAUAGCUCAGGACACCAUCAGCAGGGGCUCAGAGGACUCUGUCCCAGUUAUUUCUUUUAAAGAUGCUGCUUUCGAUGAUGUCAGUAGUACUGAUGAAGGAAGGCCUGAUCUUCUUGUAAAUCUACCUGGUGAAUUGGAGUCAACAAAAGAUGGCCCAGCAGUGGGACCAACUAAGUUUACACAGACUAAUAUAGGCAUCAUAGAAAGUAAACUGUUGGAAGCCCCCGACGUUUUAUGCCUCAGGCUUAGUACUGACCAGUGCCAAGCACAUGAAGAAAAAGGCACAGAGGAGUUGAGUGAUCCCUCUAGUCCUAAAUCCCAUGGUGUCACGGACAAACGCUGUGCACAGGGGGAUCUUGGGAUGUUAUUUGUAGCAGCUGCUGGUCAUAGCAGUACAGGAGACAUGUCUUUGUUACACAGCUCAGAUCCUAAGUUUCAAGGACCUGGGGUGGUUGAGUCAGCUGUGACUGCAGACAGCACAGAAGAAAGCUUAUUCCAUAUUUCUAACAAUGCACUCGCAGGUGCUAACGAAUAUAAUGUCAACACAGACACUUUAAAAACUGAAGAAGUUUUGCUGUUUACAGAUCAGACUGAUGAGUUGGCUAAAGAGGAACUGGCUGUAUUUCAGAGAGACUCCGAGACUAAGGGAGAGAGUGGGUUUGCCCUAGAAGGCGACAAGGAAAUACAUCAGAUUUUUGAGGACCUUGAUAAAAAAUUAGCACUAAACUCCAGGUUUUACAUCCCAGAGGGCUGCAUUCAAAGAUGGGCAGCUGAAAUGGUGGUAGCCCUUGAUGCUUUACAUAGAGAGGGAAUUGUGUGCCGCGAUUUGAACCCAAACAACAUCUUAUUGAAUGAUAGAGGACACAUUCAGCUAACGUAUUUUAGCAGGUGGAGUGAGGUUGAAGAUUCCUGUGACAGCGAUGCGGUAGAGAGAAUGUACUGUGCCCCAGAGGUUGGAGCAAUCACGGAAGAAACUGAAGCCUGUGAUUGGUGGAGUCUGGGCGCUGUCCUCUUUGAACUUCUCACUGGCAAGACUCUGGUUGAGUGCCAUCCAGCAGGAAUAAAUACUCACACCACUUUGAACAUGCCUGAAUGUGUCUCUGAAGAGGCUCGCUCACUCAUUCAACAGCUGAACCCCAGCUGAAGGACUGUAACAACACCAGGAUGGGGAGCAGGUCACCAGGAUCAUAGCUCAAUCAAGUUGACAUCACUCCCUGGAACUGGAUUUCAGCUUACUAGCCCUCUGGCCGCAUAACAGGAACUCAUGCAGGUCUACCGUGAUUAGGGAUGACUUUUGUCUUCAUGGUUGCAAGAUGGCUGCUGCAUCUCCAGCUGUUGUGUUUGUGUUCCAGGCAGAGGGCAUCUGGCAGAGAAGGUAGAACUCCCAUUUAUUGAGCACCUGCUACACAGAAGGCACUGUGCCUGGUACAUUCACAUAGACUAUGGGGCAAACUCAACAGCCUUCAACGCAAGCAUCAGACCCACGUUUUCAGAUCUGAAAACAGAGAUAUAGAGGGGAUAAGUGAUUGCUCAAGAUCAAAUACCAGCAAGUGACGGAGCCAGAAUUUAAAAUCAGGGCCACCCCAUGUGGGCACUAGGUCUCGAGCCAGGUUGAUAAGAAUUGGAAGAUGGAGGACAAAACCCUUCUGCAAGGCAACAGGACUUUCUCCAGGUUGUCUGGCUCAGUUCCGCUGAGCCUGUCAUCAGCAUCUCCGAGUCACAAAAUGUCGGGCUGGAGCUGCUGUCCUUGGAAAGAAGGGAAGUUGGCAUUCGUUCUUGUCCAUGGCAAUGAUCCCGAAAGGUUUCCUGUUUAACAUUUUAUUUGUAUUAAAGAAAAAGUAGCAUCUCC